CUACUACCGAUUGAAUGGCUUAGUGAGGUCUUGGGAUUGGCUUCGGGAGCCGGCAACGGCAUCCUGUCGCUGAGAACUUGAUCAAACUUGGUCAUUUAGAGGAAGUAAAAGUCGUAACAAGGUUUCCGUAGGUGAACCUGCGGAAGGAUCAUUAUCGAGUUUUGACUGGGUUGUAGCUGGCCUUCCGAGGCAUGUGCACGCCCUGCUCAUCCACUCUACACCUGUGCACUUACUGUGGGUUUUACGGGUCGUGAAAUGGGCUCGUUCAUUCGGGCUUGUUGAGCGCACUUGUUGCCUGCGUUUAUCACAAACUCCAUAAAGUAUUAGAAUGUGUAUUGCGAUGUAACGCAUCUAUAUACAACUUUCAGCAACGGAUCUCUUGGCUCUCGCAUCGAUGAAGAACGCAGCGAAAUGCGAUAAGUAAUGUGAAUUGCAGAAUUCAGUGAAUCAUCGAAUCUUUGAACGCACCUUGCGCUCCUUGGUAUUCCGAGGAGCAUGCCUGUUUGAGUGUCAUGAAAUCUUCAAUCUACAAGCUUCUUAUGGGAGUUUGUAGGCUUGGACUUGGAGGCUUGUCGGUCCUUUACAGGUCGGCUCCUCUCAAAUGCAUUAGCUUGGUUCCUUGCGGAUCGGCUUGUCGGUGUGAUAAUGUCUACGCCGCGACCGUGAAGCGUGUUUGGGCGAGCUUCUAACCGUCUCGUUACGGAGACAACUUUAUGACCUCUGACCUCAAAUCAGGUAGGACUACCCGCUGACUUAAGCAUAUCAAUAAGC
rnacentral:rRNA from 1 species